UAUGACUUAAAGGGGUGUGAGACAAAAAUUUGUUCAAUAUCUCACUGAGACCGGAGAAAAACAUGCGAGUGUCUGCAAAUAUUUACAAUGUCAGUCUAUUUGGAAUAGGAUUUGGGUUUCAUUUAGUAUGCAAUAGUCUCGUUGGACCACAGAAGCUGGUUUCUAAAUCCCAUCUCAGCCACACACGCAAACUUAAGCUAACGUCAUUAACGUUCGCAAAGCACCUUGGGCUGGGGCAGGUGGAGGCCAUCCUCCUCAAAGGCAGGAUUGGCCAAUGACAGAGCCAGGGACACACCUGUGAGUGCUACAGCCAAAGGGCAUUGGCUACAGCCUGAAAAUUACACCUGUGGGGGUGGGGGAAUCUGCUAUAUGUAAACCAAGUCGUUUACAAAUUCAGUCUCUCUGCUCAAGAGCUUAAACUGGUCACAUCGCCUCCAGCAACUUUGACAUCUUCAAGAGACAAAGGCUUCACCGUUGAUGUUUACCUUGCUCUAGUUAUGCUUCGACCUUCUAGAUGGGAUGCAGCCAGUCCCCAAAUCAAGAUGGUCUCCUUCCACCUGACAGCAAGGCAUUCUGCAGCGAACAGGGCGUCGAACGACGCGAAGAGGGAAGAGGAAGACAAGUCUCUGAGGCAGCACUUCUGACUUAAAAUGGUAUCUGGUUUCGAGUUCCCGGACCACUCUAAGGAAGAAACGGCCCCACCCAGCUUUAGUUAAAGAAUACUGGUCCGUUGGCUGUUAAACCAGACGUGCUGAAAGCUGUUUCCUCAUCCCCUCCCCCUGGGUUCUGUGUGGCUUUUGUGAUCGCAGCUGAGCUCUGAUUGGACAAGCUCAUUUUACCUGCGUGGCACAUCCUGCAACUGACACAUGAGCUCACCUGAACAUGAUAAAAAUAGAGUUACCAACACCCUACACUCUGCCCCUCCUCUUCCCAUUGCCUGGUUCUGCUUAUAUAUCUUCCUAAAUAUUGUAGAUCAUAUUUAUCCUGACAGCAUAGACAUUUAUGUGUAGUUCAGUGCCUGAGUGGAGCAAACACUCCACAACAAAGGAAUGAGACUUUGGUAAAGUAACACUAAAACUGACUAAGUCAGAUAUUGGAACUAAUCCGUAGCCUAUAUUUAAUAGUUUAGGUGGCUUUGCUUUUUAUCAGGAUUAAAAAAAACAACAGAAAGUACACAAAUACAUUGUCUAACAUUGUAACAAUGUCUAACAAUGUCUAACAUAGUGUUUUACAACAUACUGUUUGGUUAAGGUGGAAGACUCAAAUAUUAAACCACGCCCAUAUUUGCACAUCUGAGGGAGUUUUUUAUUUAUUUUUUAUUUAGUGUCACACAUGCAUGAAACUGAGUUAUGUUUGUUGUUCAUGGCUUUUUUGUAUUUUUAUAAGUACGCAUUACAAAGUCAUGUCAUUUAGCUUCAUAAAGAGGCAGUACUUUAGGCUUUAGGCUUUUCAUCUCUCCUUUUGUUCUCCUGUUUUCCCUUCCGUUCUUUCAAACUUCAUUGUAACUAUAACUUGGAUCACUGCAACAGAUGGUUUUAUUGCUAUCCAGUCACAGCUCACACUGUAUUUCAUUCCUGUUUUUCUUUCAAGUACAAUAAAUUCAGCCCAGUCUACGAUAUAUCUAUCUAAAGCCUGUUAAUUGGCGUCUUACCAGACAUGGUUAGAUCUGAUUAUUAGUGUCUAAUACUGUCUGGUAAUGCCGUCCAUUACAUGGCAUUAGCGUCCAGAUGACAAAGAAAGGAAAGGAUGCUCCAAGGAUGUCAUUUGCAUUUGUACUAUUCAUGCAGUAUGAUAUCUUAGUGUUUUGGGGGUUUUUUUUUAUUUCUUUGUGAAGGAAGUAAUACGAAUGAAUCACUUACAGAAUGCUCUGAAUCAUUUUGCCAGGUUAGUCAGGUCUUUAAAAUAGAACAGACCAAGUCGCUGGUUUAACCUGUACGAGGAACUAUGAACCCAACACUGGAAGACUGAUGCCAUUUACAAUGCUCUUCCAUGUGUCAUGAGUCAGAGUUUCUUUCCUCCUCUUCAAGAGAGCUGUGAGUCAUGUUUGUCAUCCAUCAUCCCCUGUUCAUACAGUAUAUGUGCUGAGAGUUGUGUGAUGUACCUUUCACAGUAUAAUUAUAUAGUGUGUAACCUUUGUAUGAAACAGCGGUUCGAUAAAUAUGAAUGUCAUGGUUGUUGCAUCAAAAAAGAAGCAUGUUAAUUGUUUGAAGAAGACUCGGCAGCAUGUUCUCAUAGUGUUGUCAUGGUAACUGAAUUCUACAUGGGUACCAGAUCCACAAAAAUAUGAUGACUACUCUUUAUCCAACCAAAAUGACUGUCUCCUCUCCUCUGCUGUUGGUUUAAUUUGUUCAGUUUUGGAUGCAUGUUAUGUAUUGUGCUGAAAAACAGUGAAAUAAAGUACAUGUAAAAUCAA